rnacentral:rRNA from 1 species
GACGAACGCUGGCGGCGUGCUUAACACAUGCAAGUCGAACGGAAAGGCCCUGCUUGCAGGGUACUCGAGUGGCGAACGGGUGAGUAACACGUGGGUGAUCUGCCCUGCACUUCGGGAUAAGCCUGGGAAACUGGGUCUAAUACCGGAUAGGAGCCAUUUUUAGUGUGAUGGUUGGAAAGUUUUUUCGGUGUAGGAUGAGCUCGCGGCCUAUCAGCUUGUUGGUGGGGGAAUGGCCUACCAAGGCGGCGACGGGUAGCCGGCCUGAGAGGGUGGACGGCCACAUUGGGACUGAGAUACGGCCCAGACUCCUACGGGAGGCAGCAGUGGGGAAUAUUGCACAAUGGGCGCAAGCCUGAUGCAGCGACGCCGCGUGGGGGAUGACGGCCUUCGGGUUGUAAACUCCUUUCGCUAGGGACGAAGCUUUUUGUGACGGUACCUAGAUAAGAAGCACCGGCUAACUACGUG